AGGGGGGGUUCGAGGGAUUCGGACGAACCGCCCACUUUGCCUAAAAAGUCCGCCUUUCCGCUAUUACGCAACAUUCAGAGUUAGAGCUGCAGUCCGUUCACUUGGCUUGGAAAACAAACACAUCAGCUGUCCCAGCCAGAGGCGACAUUUUAUCAAAGGUUUCUGCGCUGGAUGAUACACCAUUCAGGCUAGAAUGGGUAGACGUGAGCAGAAGGACAGAGCGAGGAAAAGAGCUGCCAAAAGCUGUUUCCUUGAACAAUUUUGUUUCAAAGAAACAGAGAAUACAAGCUCUGUCAGCCACAGCUAUCUCCUUGUUGGGACUAGUGCCAGCUAUUAUCUGCACUCGCCAUCUGGACACCACAGAGAUUGUCAGCAUGUAUGCAGAAGACCUACCCUCUCCAGAACUUGUUGACCAGGAGGUUACAAGGUGGAAGUUGAAGGUAUGACAGAGUGCCUGAAUCACAGAGGCCAAACACCCCAGCAAGUUCCCUGAAAGAGUGUGACCGAGACUUGUACCCCAACCUGCAUGUCCUGCUCCGGCUGGCCUGUACACUCCCUGUCACAUCCUGUGAGUGUGAGCGCAGUGCCAGUGCUUUUCGUCGCCUCAACAACUACAUGCAGGCAUCGAUAGGUAAGGAGCGUCUCUCUUCACUGACACUGCUUCAUAUUCUUUACAGAAAGCACGUUGACCUUGACAGCGUUGUUGAUGUGUUUGCAAAGAAACAUGCAAGAAGGAUGGAGUUGGACUGUCUUCUUUAUCCAGAUUGAGAUGAUGGACUUUGCAUUGUAAAUAAAGGUUUUGCAAAACUA